CCGAGAGCUGAGGGCAGAGAGAGGGACAGCGGCUCCGCGCCCCGCGCCUGCAGCUCGGGCAGGCGGGAGAUCGAGGCAGAGAGAGAAGGAGAACAAAAGCUGUCUCGAGGGUCCCUCGGGCGGUGCCCGCGGCCGGGGCAGGCGGGGUGGCGCUGCUCGGGCGGACACACGAUGCGCGACAUCGACUCCGGGCCGGGGAGAGCGCCAGCGCCGGGAUCCAAGGCUCGUGUUCCCAUUGGCCAACAGGAGCCGGGAGGCGAUUGGGUGGAACGGCCCCUUGGCCGGGUGACGGCCGCUCCGCCCUUCUUCGCUCUGAUUGGCCUGUGCCGAGGGAGGCGGGACCAGGAGCCGGGCCUCCCUGUCCGAGUCCGCAGCUCCGCGGGUGCGCGCACGGGCGGCGCGGAGCCACGGGGCGCUGCUGGGCCGGGCCGGCGGGCAGAUCCGGGGCGCUGCGGCACGUGCUGUGGCGACCACGGCGGGUCGUGCGCGACACUGGGCAGGUGCCGCCGUGCGCGGGGCCCGUGGGGCUCUCCUCUGCGGGGGUGCUGCAGCGCGAAGCUGCUUGUCUGUCCCGGGGCCCCUUUCCUCCCCGCCUGCCGCCUGCGCAGCCUCCCUGGCUCCUCGACGUGGUGGGCGGUGGUGCAGGGGGUGCACGACGGGCCUUUGCUUCUCGGCCGGCGCUGAAUCCUCUCCAGCGAGCGCCUCGCCAGGCACCAGCUUGACCGAGAAAGAAAUGCACACGUGUUGCGGUUCCGGGAGCAGCGCCGGACAUCGCUUCAGUUCCAGGGGAGUUUGGGAGCCUCGGUGUCAAUAGUGUGAAGCUGAGAGCGGGGAGCUGAAGGGACGGUGUUAUUAGUGCGUGCGUGCUCCGGGAACCUUACAUUGUGCACAGAUGUAUCCAGUACGGCGGGGUCUGUAUAUGCAGAUAGUGUGUGUGUGUCUGUGUGUGCGUGUGUUACACACCCUCAUUAACCCAGUGAUCCUGUUACUACGUGUGUCCCUCUGUCUCUGUCCAUGGUGAUAGUGAUGUAGGUAUUCAUCUCUCACCCUUGCACAGCUCCACACACGAGUAUGUGUCGUUAGUGCGGGUAUCACACGUGUCAUGGGGCAUCCGCACCCUGCAUGGAGGAAACCCGGCUCAGUGCUGCCCUCCCGCUGAGCGCUCCCCUUGAUUCGUAUCAGGUCUCAUUCCACUUGCUGAGGUUGGCCGGAGACGAUGCCCACAGACUACAGGGGAGGUUGCAGGCUUCUGGAGGACACUGAGUGCGCUGGGACCCCGAGGCUUAGUGACCUCCCUGUAACUCAGGUCCAGGUCUCUGCUCCUCUGUUCUGCUGCUCCUGGCACUAUGAGAUGCCCCUCCGCACCCUGUAAACAUGGCUGCACCCUGACCCGCUCUGACCGUGGGGGAGGAGGCCUCGUUUAGCCCUUUGGGCUCUGUGGCUCCCAUGGCAGGAGGCUGCAGUCGUGGCCCUGAUGUCCCCAGACAUGGGGCAGCUUUGACCCCUGAUCGAGACCACUUGGUGCACUUGUCAGGUGGCACUGAGGGCUUUGCAGGUUGUCUCCGGGCUUCAUGCCCCACCAGACAGCUGUGUGCGGGGAGCACGGCCCUGUAAGCAGGGUUUUGAGUGUUUGUGGUCACCGUUCAUGGUGCCGCCCUAGCGGUUCCGUGCAGAGUCCUUGCCCUUUGCAGUCUCCUUCUGGCUGGCCCAGAUGUCAGCAGCCGAGCCCACAGAUAUCUGCACUUCCCCAUUUCCAUCGACGGAGGACAGAUCGGCAGCAGAUUCAGGUAAGAAAGGGAGCCAAGUUGUGACCCCCAGACCCAUCCUGCAAGGUGGUCAGCAUCUGUCUCUGCUUAGUAUAGGCCCUGGUAGGAGAAGCAGGAAAGAUGACACACAAGCAGGCAUCAGCUGCCAAGGAGGGAAGAAAACCAUGGAAACCCAGGAAAAGUAAGGGAGUUUCGAAGUGUUGACUUUUUUUAUUUUAUUUUGUAUUUUCAGUUUUACUCCGUCACUGAGCCGUGGACCUUGGAAUCGGUGGGCCCCAUAAAGUUGGGUUCCUGACACUUCCUUCUAAGCAGAGAAGACCACAGACAACCAACUGAGGAAGGAAGAAAUCCCCGCCCGCUCAGCGUAAGGGACGUAAAGGUCCCUGAAGGGCAGCCGGAGAAGAAGGAACGGAAGCAAGAGAAGAAAGCUCGGGAACAAGAAGUGUGGGUUGGGGUGGGCAGAAGGAAGGGGAAUGUUUAAUGUCUGCUUAGAGAAGUUCAGAUGGAGACUGCUGAGUGCCUCUCUACACUUCCAAACACCCAUUAGGGGCAAGCAGCCGCACGCUUCAAAUUGCACCGUGCACUCGGUCUUGGGUUGGCCCCAAUUGUGUGCAGGGAGGUUGAGGCUUUGUGCUAGUUGUGUAUUUUGAUAUGCAGCAGUGAAGGGUUUCGUAGGUUGUUUGGCUUUGCUAGUUAAGCAGUGGAUCAGAAUAGAUGCAAUCCAAGGCAGCGUAUAGGGUGUUCUUGUUUGGCUCAUUGAGUGGUUCUUGGUGUUAGUAUAGAAAUUCAGGUUUGUGCUCAGUUCUGUUUGUGGUUUGGCUGUAGCUUUGCGUAGGAUGUAGCUUGCGGGGCCAAUUUGAGGCUGUUUGUGAGGCAAUAAAUAUAUUUGCAUCUGUACGUUAAGGCUUCAGGGUGUUCGUGUUUAACCUCCAGCUCCACAAGGACAAAUUUCUUGUCCUGUGUCCAAACAAUCAUAAAGGUAGUUGGCGUGGUCAACAUCAAACCGGCAGGAGCAAACGGGCCUAAGAUGUGCACAGUUGAACAAUAAACUGUCUAAGAAACUUCACCUCGUGGCUGGUACUUUUCUGUGCUGAAAUUUGGCUAUGGGCCUUUCCUGUUGCGAGCUGGCUGAAGGAUGAACUUUUUAAUUCAGUCUGCCGAUCCGAUCUGUGUUCUUACUUGUGCAAUGCAAAUAUUUCCUCUUCUGAUGGACCAGUGGGAAAAGAAUGUGUAACGCAUGGUUCCUAGUCAUUGGUUUACAAUGGUUAAUGCACUGUAGGAAAGCAGUCCUGAGUUAUUUGAGGUAAAGUAUAGUGACGUUGUGGUGCUUCGGUGUAAUCUGUUGAAGUUCAGCUGCUCCUUGUCUCAAAAGGAAUACGUGGUCCGAAUGAAAAUAAAAUUCUCAGACUUGUGAGGUA